GACGAACGCUGGCGGCGUGCUUAACACAUGCAAGUCGAACGAUGACGACCGAGCUUGCUCGGUCUGAUUAGUGGCGAACGGGUGAGUAACACGUGAGCAACCUGCCCUUCACUCUGGGAUAACCUCGGGAAAUCGGGGCUAAUACCGGAUAUGAGCUCCUGUCGCAUGGCGGGGGUUGGAAAGUUUUUCGGUGAAGGAUGGGCUCGCGGCCUAUCAGUUUGUUGGUGGGGUGGUGGUUCACCAAGGCGAUGGCGGGUAGCCGGCCUGAGAGGGCGACCGGCCACACUGGGACUGAGACACGGCCCAGACCCCUACGGGAGGCAGCAGUGGGGAAUAUUGCACAAUGGGCGAAAGCCUGAUGCAGCGACGCCGCGUGAGGGAUGACGGCCUUCGGGUUGUAAACCUCUUUCAGCAGGGAAGAAGCGAAAGUGACGGUACCUGCAGAAGAAGCGCCGGCUAACUACGUG
rnacentral:rRNA from 1 species